rnacentral:rRNA from 1 species
GACGAACGCUGGCGGCGUGCUUAACACAUGCAAGUCGAACGCUGAAGCUCAGCUUUUGUUGGGUGGAUGAGUGGCGAACGGGUGAGUAACACGUGAGUAACCUGCCUCCUUCUUUGGGAUAACGCCCGGAAACGGGUGCUAAUACUGGAUAUUCACUGGUCUUCGCAUGGGGGUUGGUGGAAAGGGUUUUUCUGGUGGGGGAUGGGCUCGCGGCCUAUCAGCUUGUUGGGGGGGGGAUGGCCUAACAAGGCUGUGAGGGGUAGCCGGCCUGAGGGGGUGACCGGUCACAGUGGGACUGAGAUACGGCCCAGACUCCUCCGGGGGGCAGCAGUGGGGAAUAUUGCACAAUGGGCGCAAGCCUGAUGCAGCGACGCCGCGUGAGGGUUGGGGGCUUUCGGGUUGUUAGCCUCUUUCGCUCAUGGUCAGGCCGCAACAAUGGUUGUGGUGGGGGUAGUGGGUAAAGAAGCGCCGGCUAACUACG